rnacentral:rRNA from 1 species
AGUGAACGCUGGCGGUAGGCCUAACACAUGCAAGUCGAACGGCAGCACAGUAAGAGCUUGCUCUUACGGGUGCGGACGGGCGAAGGGUGGGGAAAAAAAUGGGAAUUAAUUUUUUCUGGGGGGUUAACGAGGGAAAACUUACCUUAUAACCCCUAAGGACUAACGGGGGAAAGCAGGGGACCUCCGACCCUUCGCCGAUGCAAGGACCGGAUGUCGGAUUAGCUAGUUGGCGGGGUAAAGGCCCACCAAGGCGACGAUCCGUAGCUGGUCUGAGAGGAUGAUCAGCCACACUGGAACUGAGACACGGUCCAGACUCCUACGGGAGGCAGCAGUGGGGAAUAUUGGACAAUGGGCGCAAGCCUGAUCCAGCCAUACCGCGUGGGUGAAGAAGGCCUUCGGGUUGUAAAGCCCUUUUGUUGGGAAAGAAAAGCAGCAGGUUAAUACCCCGCUGUUCUGACGGUACCCAAAGAAUAAGCACCGGCUAACUUCGUG